GACGAACGCUGGCGGCGUGCCUAAUACAUGCAAGUCGAGCGGAACUGGGGGAGCUUGCUCCUUCCAGUUUAGCGGCGGACGGGUGAGUAACACGUGGGCAACCUGCCCUGCAGAUCGGGAUAACUCCGGGAAACCGGUGCUAAUACCGAAUAGUUUGGCGCCUCUCCUGAGGCGCUACGGAAAGACGGUUUCGGCUGUCACUGCAGGAUGGGCCCGCGGCGCAUUAGCUAGUUGGUGGGGUAACGGCCCACCAAGGCGACGAUGCGUAGCCGACCUGAGAGGGUGACCGGCCACACUGGGACUGAGACACGGCCCAGACUCCUACGGGAGGCGGCAGUAGGGAAUCUUCCGCAAUGGACGCAAGUCUGACGGAGCAACGCCGCGUGAGUGACGAAGGUUUUCGGAUCGUAAAACUCUGUUGUGAGGGAAGAACACGUACCAACUAACUAUUGGUACCUUGACGGUACCUCACCAGAAAGCCACGGCUAACUACGUGCCAGCCGCCGCCGUAC
rnacentral:rRNA from 1 species